GAUGAAGAACGUAGCGAAAUGCGAUAAGUAAUGUGAAUUGUAGAAUUCAGUGAAUCAUCGAAUCUUUGAACGCACAUUGCGCCCGCCAGCAUUCUGGCGGGCAUGCCUGUUCGAGCGUCAUUUCAACCCUCGAGCCCCCCCGGGGGCCUCGGUGUUGGGGGACGGCACACCAGCCGCCCCCGAAAUGCAGUGGCGACCCCGCCGCAGCCUCCCCUGCGUAGUAGCACACACCUCGCACCGGAGCGCGGAGGCGGUCACGCCGUAAAACGCCCAACUUUCUUAGAGUUGACCUCGGAUCAGGUAGGAAUACCCGCUGAACUUAAGCAUAUCAAUAAGCGGAGGA
rnacentral:misc_RNA from 1 species